AUUAGCUUACUAUUUAUUUCUAUUUGUUCAGGAACUAUUUGCUUGGUUGGAAACUAUUAAUACUGUUGUUGCCAGGUUUAGUUCUCCUCCUCUCCCUGCUCCAGUCUCCAGUUCAGCAAAGUUCCAGCGUCCCCUGUUCCCUUCUUCAUGUUCUCGAUUAUCACUAGCUGAUCAGCUGACUUCUCACCGCCAGCAGCUGGAUCAGCUGGAACAACAGCUGAUCCUCAGUAGCUCCAAUCCACCAUCUGGCGGUAAAAAGUUUCAAGACAAUGAAAAGCUUGAGUUCUUACAAAGUGAGAAGGACAGAUUCCAAGUUUAUAUUCGUUGUUUGGAAACUCUGAAGAGCAAACAUGAAUCCCAGCUUCUCUCCAGUCCUAUGAGACUGAUGGCGCAGUAGACCUGGCAUCAGAUUGUCUCGCAGUGAAUUGACAGCUGAUUCAAUUUGUUGGUAGCUGAUAUAAUUUUCACAGUUGAUUUAAUUAGGCUUACUGCUGAUGAAGUUUAAUUGACAGCUGAUUUAUUUUAUUUGUCAGCUGUAAAUAUCUAAUUGACCAACUUUUGUGAUGGUGUCAGCUGACUAAUCAAUGCAGUCAUCCCCAAUUGUCCCCUUGUCUCAUUGUCCCCUUGUCCUCUUCAGCCUGAUCGACCCAUUUUAGGACAAUGGGACUCAAAACAGUGAUAUUUCUUACUUCCAAAGUAGAUUGUGGCCAAAUUCAGGUUUUCAAGGUGCAGAUUGCAGAAUUUCAUAUUUAGACAUUAAUCAUUUUAUAGAGACUGUUAUUUUUACCUUCUAUUGAACUGCAUCAUUGUACAAUUUAUGUAAUGGCUGAAAUUGUACAAUGUACAUGUAUACGACUAUUCACAAUUCAAAUUUUUUAAAAACAAAUCAGUCUUGAUAUGUCCAAUUUCUCUAUGAAUACAUGUGUUUAUGUUAUAUUAUAUCUUAAUACCAGCUGAAAACUUCGAAUUACAUAAUAAAAAACUACUAUUUUC
rnacentral:lncRNA from 1 species